GCCACAAUAGCUCAGUCGGUAGAGCACUUCACUCGUAAUGAAGGGGUCGCAGGUUCGAAUCCCGUUUGUGGCU
rnacentral:tRNA from 1 species